GAAUGAAAAAGCUUUCUUACAAUUCAAAAAGAAUAUGAAUUAAUGAGCAGAGCAGCAGCACAGUGUUUUCCGGAUUCUUCAGCAUUCAAAUUAAUUCCAUUUUAUUCAAUUGAUAAAGUAAAAGAAGUAGAGGAAAAUUUAGAAAACUACCCUAAGGGAGAGCACAAUACCUCAAAUUACUCUUAGGGUGAGAUGGGAUUUCCAAAUGUAUCAACCAUUUAUUCACCAAAAAUCUUUUGCUUGAAAUCAACCGCGAUGGGAAAAAGCAAAAAAAUGGCAUUGAAGCAAUUUAAAAUU